ACGUAGGCAGCAAGCGUUGUUCGGAGUUACUGGGCGUAAAGGGUGUGUAGGCGGUUCUUUAAGUUUGGUGUGAAAUCUCCCGGCUCAACUGGGAGGGUGCGCCGAAUACUGAGGGACUAGAGUACGGGAGAGGAAAGUGGAAUUCCUGGUGUAGCGGUGAAAUGCGUAGAUAUCAGGAGGAACACCGGUGGUGUAGACGGCUUUCUGGACCGACACUGACGCUGAGACACGAAAGCGUGGGUAGCAAACAGGA
rnacentral:rRNA from 1 species